rnacentral:rRNA from 1 species
AGAGUUUGAUCCUGGCUCAGAACGAACGCUGGCGGCGUGCCUAACACAUGCAAGUCGAACGGGGUUUGCAGUUCAUCGCAAACUUAGUGGCGAACGGGUGAGUAACACGUAGGUAACCUACCUCAGGGCGGGGGACAACCCCGAGAAAUCGAGGCUAAUACCGCAUAAGACCACGGGCUGGAAUGCCUGCGGCAAAAGCAGCAAUGCACCCUGAGAUGGGCCUGCGGCCUAUCAGGUAGUUGGUAGGGUAACGGCCUACCAAGCCUAAGACGGGUAGCCGGUCUGAGAGGAUGGACGGCCACACUGGCACUGGAACACGGGCCAGACUCCUACGGGAGGCAGCAGUGAGGAAUAUUGCGCAAUGGGGGCAACCCUGACGCAGCGACGCCGCGUGAGUGAGGAAGGCCUUCGGGUCGUAAAGCUCUGUCAAAGGGAAAGAAGUGCAUGUUGGUUAAUACCCAUCAUGUUUGACGGUACCCUUAAAGGAAGCACCGGCUAACUCCGUGCCAGCAGCCGCGGUAAUACGGAGGGUGCAAGCGUUGUUCGGAAUCACUGGGCGUAAAGGGCGCGUAGGCGGUUUGAUAAGUCAGAUGUGAAAGCCCACGGCUUAACCGUGGAAGUGCAUUUGAUACUGUUAGACUUGAGUACCAGAGGGGAAAGUGGAAUUCCCGGUGUAGAGGUGAAAUUCGUAGAUAUCGGGAGGAAUACCGGUGGCGAAGGCGACUUUCUGGCUGGAUACUGACGCUGAGGCGCGAAAGCGUGGGGAGCAAACAGGAUUAGAUACCCUGGUAGUCC